AAGGAUCAUUAUUGAAUAAACUUGGCUUAGGUUGUUGCUGGCUUCUAGGAGCAUGUGCACAUCUAUUCCAUUUUUAAAACCUCCUGUGCACUCUGUGUAGACCUGAACAAUUUUCAAGAAAGUUUUUUCUUGGUCUGAAGAUUGCUGAGUAAAAGCCAGCUCUCUUUAUGUCCCAGUGUCUAUAUUUUACACACACUCCAUAAAAAUGUAUUAGAAUGUUAAAUAUAGGCCUUUGUGUCUUUAAAACAAAAUACAACUUUCAACAACGGAUCUCUUGGCUCUC
rnacentral:misc_RNA from 1 species